AAAGUUGAGAAAAUAAACUGGCUUUACAAUUUAUAAGGAAGUUAAACCUUAGAAAACUUGAGUUAAAUAAUCUGUGAAUCUCAGACAAGUAUGGCUACAAGUGGUCAACUAACUUACUCCGCUUUUACAGAUCUUAGGACAAAUUUUACACUGGUCUAUCAGUAUUAAGUGCAAUAUAAUAAGAACAAUCUGAAAACAUGUUGCUUUAUUCAUAAUUAAGGAACUUAUUUCAAGAAAACAUAAGGCUGCUUCUAAUACCAAGAAAAUCAAAGAGAAUCCAGAAGUGUCCUCGCCGACCACAUUUAAUUUACUAGUUAUAGGUUUAACAUAACACAGAAUCCACAAAGAUGUCCAGAACCGAUUGCUUCACUGGCCAGGGCAUGCUCUCAUAUCUGAAGGUACUGUACUAUUAAUGGGUGUCACUGCAGUACUGUGCUGUACGUUAAGACAGAGGUAAGUGCUACCAAACUUAUAAGAUAGGGCAGGAGCAAGAAGCAGAAGGGCAGAGAGCUGGAGGCCAGACAGCACGAGCAGUGGCCCCUCCAGCCUGCCUCAUUAUGAGAUCCAAGAUUAUCAUGACAUCCAGAGGCAAGGAGGAAGAAGAGCAGGAACCACUUGCAGUAUCCAACACAAUAGCAAAGACUUCCAGGAGAAGGUGCAGCUACAACAGCAAAUGAAUGUUGAGAAUAAUUUAUCAGCCACUUCAGCCUGAAGAACUGAAGCAACUGACUGACAGUUCUGACAGCAGAACAACUACAGUGUCAUGAACUAUCGCUGCAGGUAAUUCUAACUCUUUGAGUCAUAUUGAAAUUUAAAAAAAAAAAAAUAAAAAGCUUGGGGUUUUUAUAUAUUUUCUGGUUCCACAGUAUAUUUUAAAAUGAACCACAAAGACCAAAAAUUACCCAUAAGAAAAGUUUUUGCACAAUCGCUUUUUGAAACACACUUGGCAAUACCAAAAAUGCCAAAGUGAGCAUUAGGAGAUGCAGAAAUCAUUUGCAUAGUGCCACAAUCUCUGUGCUUAUAACUAGUUCUGAACAAGAAACUGUAAGGACUUGGAAGUGUGAAGAAGCAAACACAAGAAACUUAUUUUAAGUAAAGAUGUAGUAAAACCAUUUGAGACUAGAUGACCACAGGCAGACAGACCUGGCUACCAGAAACUGUAAACCUGUUUGUUAUUAGUUCCAAUUAUGUGAUAUCACUUCAAGUUAGAGAAGCCGUCUUUUCCUGUUUAUAAAGUGUAAAAGCCAAGUUUCAGUAAAUACUUCUAUAGCAAAAUAGUCAAGAGUCUUUCCUGCCAAAAUGUUAACACACAAGUAGAAGCCUUCUUCCCCCCAACAUAAACAGGAUUUGCUGAGUGAUGGCGAUUUUGUUAAGUAUAAAAUCAAUGGGGUUUUGUUUAAAUACCACAGGAAGUCUAUUAAAUCUAAUAUUUAAUUUGUACCAUAUAAUUUAUUUUUGUCAGAAAAGAAAAAAAAUAAGGGUUAGUGGGUUUGUUUCUGAAGAAAAACUUCUUAACUUCAAUUGAAAACAGAUGCUUGCUCUUCCUACUUUUGAAGUUAUUUUUUUCUUUGCUUCUUAAGGCACAUUUGGGAACAGAAGCUGGUGAAUUUUUUCUUCUGGAAUGAUAUAUAAACAUGAAAGAUAAAGUUGUAUUUCUUUCUGUCAAAGGUGAGAAGAGGAAAGGCUGACAGUUUUCCCACCACUACCUCUAUGUUCCUGUCAACACCUGCUGACCCAGCCAGCAAAAGAAGCCAAGGUAUUUUCUGCCAUUCUUGUCACGUGUUCCACUCUAUGUUUUUGCAGCCUCUAGCUUGUUUAAAUAGGUGACCUGGUUCAUCCGCUCACAGGAGGCUUUUCAAGAGAUAGGAAAACAACAACCUACACAAUCUUCUCAUUCUUCACACUUUCCAGAAAUGCAUAAGUUCUAUGAAAAUCCAGGCAAAACUAUGCUUCCUCGGAAUGCAAAGUGGUGAGCUAUGCCUUUCUAGCUUAGUAAAACUCUGCUGGACAUUCGAUUAAAAGUAACCUUAUGACUGAAGGAAGCAAUAUGAAGACAUGACCACUUAAAUUUUACAAGCAUAAUGAAACUUCUUAUUUUAAAAGAUUACUUUUGGAAGGACAGCAGAAAGACUAUGGGAGGUAAUGAACAGAAAAUUAAAUGAACUGGAAGAACUUUCCAGAAGAAAGAGAGCCCAAGAUGACUAGGUAUGU